CACGCGCCGCUCCUCUCGGAGUCCGGUCUCAGGUGUGGAAGGAAGUCAGCUGCGGCAGCAAACGCGCUUCUCGGCGGAAACGAAGCCCCGGCCGCUGUCCGGCUGGAGUGCAAUGGCGCGAUCUCGGCUCACUGCAGCCUCCGCCUCCUGGGUUCAGGCAAUUCUCCUGCCUCAGCCUCCCGAGUAGCUGGGAUUACAGGCACGCGCCACCAUGCCCAGCUAAUUUUCUGUAUUUUUAGUAGAGACGGGGUUUCACCAUGUUGACCAGGAUGGUCUCGAUCUGUUGACCUCGUGAUCCACCCGCCUCGGCCUCCCAAAGUGCUGGGAUUACAGGAGGGAGCCACCGCGCCCAGCCUUUAAUAAAUUCUAAUAUUUAUGUUAGAGCCAAGCAGCUACUUUUGGGCUGGAAGUCACACUCGUGCUGUGAGCUCCCUGAAAACCCACGCCUCUUAGCAACUUCGGGGCUUCCAGAGCUCACCUGAACCAACCAAUCAGGGCUCAGCUGUACUCACCAUUCAACAUCAAGCAAGUUUAAAUCCUUCAUGACCUCGCCCCGAUUCCCCUGAGAUGAGUCCUGGGGGGGGGAGGGGUGCAUGCCAGGGGUCUGCAGUGGGGUCCAGUGUGGAGGGGAGGAGAGACACCACCUUGACCAGGUGGGGCAGCAGCAGAUACUCUCACAGACGCCCCUGAAUCCCUGGGACUAAGUGGACCUUGAGGCAUGUGACCGUUCAUAUUCAUAUUAGGUGUAAACUUCUUGAUUGGAUUGAAGGAAGCCUAGAAGCUGGUGAAGCAUGGUUUCUGGUGACUGACAUUUGGGUCAGUGGCCUGGGAGAGAAGGCCCACCCUCAGUGUGGGCGGCACCAUGAAAUCGCUGCCAACGCAGCUCUGACAAAGCAGGUGGGAGGAGGGGAUGAGCAGCUUGCUGAACCCUCGCCCUGCACUUGCUUCCUCCCCCCCGUCCCUGGCUCCAGGUUCUUUGGCCUGUGGACUCCAGGACUCGCACCAACGACCUCCGAGGGGCUUUUGGGUCUUUGGCCUUAGACUAAGGGUGGUAUCUGGGGCUUCCCUUGUUUGGUGGCAUCUGGACUCUGAGCCACACUAUCUGCUUCUUUAUUUUUUCUAGCUUGUACACAGUAUAUCCUGGGACUUCACCUUGGAAUUGCAUGAGCCAAUUCUCCCUUAUGAACUUCCUUUUGUCUAAUUAAUUAACUUACUAGUUUAUUUUGAGAUGGAGUCUUGCUCUGUCACCCAGGCUGGAGUGCAGUGACACGAUCUCAGCUCACUGCAAGCUCCGCCUCCUGGGUUCAAGCGAUUCUCCUGCCUCAGCCUCCGGAGUAGCUGGGACUACAGGCACCUGCCACCACUCCCGGCUAAUUUUUGUAUUUUUAGUAAAGAUGGGAUUUCACCACUCCCGGCUAAUUUUUGUAUUUUUAGUAAAGAUGGGAUUUCACCAUGUUGGCCAGGAUGGUUUAGAUCUCCUGACCUCAGGUCAUCCACCAGUCUGGGCCUCCCUAAGUGUGGGGAUUACAGGCAUGAGCCACCAUGCCCAGCCUAUUUAAAAAAAUUUUUUUGAGAUGGAAUCUCUCUGUGUCGUUGAGGCUGGAGUGCAAUGGCACAAUCUCAGCUCACUGCAACCUCCCUCUCCUAGGUUCAAGUGAUUCUCCUGCCACAGCCUCCCAAGUAACUGGGACUACAGGUGCACACAACCAUGCCAGGCUAAUUUUUGUAUUUUUAGUAGAGAGGGGGAUUCACUAUGUUCCCCAGGGUGGUCUCUAACUCCUGUCUUCAGGUGAUCCACCUGCCUUGGCCUCCAAAGUGCUGGCAUUACAGGGGUGAGCUACCACACCUGGCCCUUCCUAGAACUUUCUUAUUUCAGAAGAAGUUGCACUGUGGUCUUAGGGAGUGUUUACGUGAGGCGGGACCUUCAGGUUGGAAAUGCCCCAAGUUCCACAGUGCUCAGGCACUGGCCCAGUGAUGAAAUGUCCACUGUCAUUUAUGAAUAUGGAAUUUAGGGCCAAGCACUAGCAUUCCUGCAUUUUGGAAGCCUUUGUGGGUCUCUGCCAUUCCACUCAAAGUAGAGCACAGUGAGGAGUGCAGAUUUGGGAAUUUCCUGUGAGCCACUCCUACCAUAAGGGUUCUUACAUCACAUGUCUUAAUCUAGUCAAGGAAAUACACCAGAUUAAAAGCGUUCCAUGUCUCCAUGCACACAUAUGUUUAUUGCGGCACUGUUCACAAGAGCAAAGACUUGGAACCAACCCAAAUGCCCAUCAGUGAUUGACUGGAUAAAGAAUAUGUAACACACACCAUGGAAUACUAUGCAGCCACAAAAAGGAGGAGUUCAUAUCCUUUGUAGGGCCAUGGAUGAAGCUGGAAACUAUCAUUCUCAGCAAACUAACACAAGAACAGAAAAACACCACAUGUUCUCACUCCUAAGUAGGCAUUAACAAUGAGAACACAUGCACACACAGAGGGGAACAUCACACACCACAGCCUGUCAGGGGGCUGGGGACUAGGGAGGGAUAGCAUUAGGAGAAACACUAAUGCAGAUCAUGGGGAGGGGGGAUGGAUGCAGCAAACCACCAUGGCAUGUGUAUAACUGUGUAACAAACCUGCACGUUCUGCACAUGUACCCCAGAACUUAAAGUAUAAUAAUAAUAAAGAAAUAAGAAAUUUCAGAGGGAAGAAGUGCUUUGGAGAAGCGAAACCAGACAGCAGGCCCAGGAGGGAGGUAGCACUUCCUCUGCAGUCCGUUGACAGCCUUAUAAAUACCUCCCUAGCCUGGUUCCUGACCAGGGUCAUUCCUCCUGUGAUAGCACCAUGGGCUGCUCCAGUGAACUGAGGCAGAGAAUGAAACAGACCCUAGUUACUCGCUUUUGCUUCACAUACAGUGAACACAUCCAAGCAGUUGUACCCUUCAGCCCUCCUCGCCCACAUCCGCUGGUCCAUCCCACAGCGCAAGCUCACUGGAGACUGAAGACAGCCUGUCUGUACCAUCACAUCAGCCUCCUCCUGGUCCCUACUCCAAGACCUCACUCCAUGCUGAUCUUGUAUUCUCACAGCCCCCGACCUUAUCUGUGGCUGACUCUUCCUUGGUCAAAAUCCUCCCCCGGGUCUGAAUCUUCCUCCAAAUAAGACACAAGUAUAUCUGCCUGAUGUUCAUGAUGUUGAUGACCAGGACUAAGCUAACAUCUCCAGCGCCAGAAAACAUGGCUCCUCCCUACAGAGCAAAUUCAUUACAGGAAACCACUUACCCCUUCCCCACCACGCCUCAGAAAGACACUUAAGAUAGUAACAUAUGUCUGCCUUCUCACAGUCAGCUCCCUGAGAAAAUUUAAACCUAGGAAAUGCCUUUCCAAACUCCUAACUAUGGUAAAGAAAAGGAAGUCUUGCUGUCUCAUCCUUGCUGCAUUCAUGACUUAGGGUUUAAGAAGGAAUUCCAGGAGAAAUCCACAUAACCGCUUAGAGUAUUGAUUGGCACAUUACCGAGGUCAGCUGAAUGCUGGAGUUGUAUCACUGCUGAUUAUCAGCGCAGCCCUUCUACCAUCCAUGCCUAUACAGUGGUAGUUUUCUUUCUUUAAUUGAUAAGGAGUUUUGCUCUUGUUGCCCAGGCUGGAGUGCAGUGGUGCAAUCUCAGCUCGCUGCAACCUCUACCUGGUUCAAGCAAUUCUCCUAUCUCAGCCUCCCAAGUAGCUGGGAUUACAGGUACCCACCACCACAUCCGGCUUAUUUUUGUAUUUUUAGUAAAGAUGAGGUUUCACCAUGUUGGCCGCACUGGUCUUGAACUCCUGACCUCAGGUGAUCUGCCUGUCUCAACCUCCCAAAUUGCUGGGAUUACAGGUGCGAGCCACCACACCUGGUCAUUGGUUUUCUUAAAACAAAAAUCUGCUCACAUGUUCAUUUGCUUAAAAUUUACCCACUGCCUUCAAGAUGAAAUCCAAGUAUACUUGCAAGCUACACAAGAGCCCGAGUGACCAGCUCCCUGCAUUCUCUGGAUUACUGUCAGCUCUGAGAACAGCUCACACUUCCUGGUCGAGGGCUCCCACCCUUGCCUUUCUAGUAGCUCCAAAUAUUCAGGACUUGGACUCCCGUUCUCCAGAAGGUCACCCUACUGUGAUGACUCUGGUUGUUUCAUGUUCACCUGCUGCUGAGUCUCAUCCUCUCCUGAUUCUCUGCUUCUCUAUGGUUCAACAAAACCAUAGCUGAAUUAUCUGUUACCUGAAUAAUUGCAAUGUUUGUCUUUAUUAGUCUGAGCUCCACAAGUCCAGGGAAAAUGUCUUUUCCACUUGUAUUCCUCUAGAUCCUCCAGAAAAAAAGAACUUGAGAGCUUAUAGAAUACACAUACACACGCACAAAUGCACACACACAGUUUUAUAAUGAAUUGGCUCAUAAGGUUAUACAAACUGAGAAUUUUUUUUUUUUUGAGAUAGGGUCCCAUUCUGUUGCCCAGGCUGGAGUGCAGUGACCCAGUCUUGGCUCACUGCAACCGCUGCCUCCCGGGCUCAGCAGUUCUCCUGCCUCAGCAUCCCAAGUAGAUGGAAUUACGGCGUGUGCCACCAUACCGGCUAAUUUUUCUUAUUUUUAGUGGAGAUGGGGUUUCGCCAUGUUGACCAGGCUGGUCUGGAACUCCUGACCUCAAGUGAUCCACCCGCCUCAGCUUCCCAAACACUGGGAUCAUUUUUUGGAUUUUUUUUUUUUUUUUCUAAAAAGAGCAGCCUAUAAAAUCAAGCUGCAGACAUAAGCAAGCUGCAAGGUUGCCCAGGUGAAUGCCAGCAGCUGCACCAAUAGGAAAAGGCUACCUGGGGCUAGGCACCUCCAACAUGGUGGCUCUAUCUUUCCUUUCCUUGCCAACUGUGUGUGUAGUAGGGAGCACACUGCAUGGUGCCAGCCAGGUAGAAAACCCAUUUGCAUAAUAGAUUAGGGUGGGGUGGCCAGUUUCUUCACAUGAUAUGUAAAUGUCACACUCUGGCUGUUUCAUGUUCACCUGCUGCUGAGUCUCAUCCUCUCCUGAUUCUCUGCUUCUUUAUGGUUCAACAAAACCAUAGCUGAAUUAUCUGUUACCUGAAUAAUUCCAAUCUUUGGCCCUAUGUAAAUCAGACACCCUCUCCUCAAGCCUAUGUAUGAUUGAAAUCAGGUUUUUUCCUGUGCUGUUGUGAUAGAGAAUAAGUCUCAGGAGUUCCCCUGCACACGCUCUCUUGCCUGCCACCAUGUACAGUGUGACUUUGCUCCUCCUUGGCUUCCGCCAUGAUUGUGAGUGCUCCCCAGCCAUAUGAAAUGGGCAGUCCAUUAAACCUCUUUCCUUUAUCAAUUACCCAGUCUCAGGUAUGUCUGUUAGCAGCAUGAAAACUCUUCCUCCAAUACACUCUUCCUCCUGUUGCACACCCCCAUGACCUCAGUGUUUGUGUUCUCAGGAUAGGAGCUCCAUGACCCAUGCGCAUGGAAAUUCUAGACCCUCAGCAUGCAGGAGAGCCCUGGGCUGGGCUGGGAAGGAAGGAGUAGAAGAGAGGGUUAGACACAGGGCAGUCCCAGCCCAGAGAGGGUAAAAGAGACAGUUAUUCUCACUCUCACCCCAUGCCUUACCUCACUUGGGGGUCACAGAUGAGUGAAGGAAGAUUAACAAUGUUGGAGGUUUACCUUUUAGAAAAGGAGAUGGAGGUGAGGGAACCAGAGCCUUACAUGUUCCUCCUGUCAUGUCCCGAGCAGCAUGUGGGUUCCGCAGCCCUUCACUCUCAUGAAUGCACUUCCCAUCUGCUGAGUAAGAGGGUCCUAGAGGAGUCACAAUCUCUCCAAGUCCUGAGCUGAGUUUCUCAGUGUAUCCUGCACAUGAAACCUUUACAGAAGAGGUUGCUUCCAGAAGGGGUAGGGAAAAAGCAGAGAUGAAAAGAGAAGGCUUUAUUUUUCCAGCAGUGCUGGGGUCGUUGGUAGCUCUUGGGUGGUCAUUGUGGAAGGAAACACGUGAAGGUUAAGAGGCCCACCUGAAGUGGGAAGAGAACAGACCGCAUCCCUUGCUCUUGUCCACAGUGCUGAUUUUUUUUUUGCUUUUUUGGGAUUACAGACAUCUCCAAAACCAGUGGAAUCAGGCCCCAAUUUGAAGACCAGAAUUAAAGGAGUCUUCUAUUCUAAGGGACAGGGUGGUCAGGGAACUCAUGGAGAGUGGAAGUUCAAGGUUGAGUUUGCUCAGCUGCUCUGAAGAUGAACACCUUUAUUAAACUCUAAAUAAAUCUGGGAUGUUAUUCUCCCAUUUAUGAAAGGCAGAA